rnacentral:sRNA from 1 species
AGAGAAAGAGGCAACUACAUUGCCUGGAGGAAGCCUAAGGAACCCAGGCAUCCAGCUGCCCACGCCUGAGUCCAAGAUUCUUCCCAGGAACACAAACGUAGGAGACCCACGCUCCUGGAAGCACCAGCCUUUAUCUCUUCACCUUCAAGUCCCCUUUCUCAAGAAUCCUCUGUUCUUUGCCCUCUAAAGUCUUGGUACAUCUAGGACCCAGGCAUCUUGCUUUCCAGCCACAAAGAGACAGAUGAAGAUGCAGAAAGGAAAUGUUCUCCUUAUGUUUGGUCUACUAUUGCAUUUAGAAGCUGGUGAGUGAUUUUAUUUAAAAUCGGGUGGUCUGAGAACCUUUGAGGAGUUGGGAGAGAAAUGUGACCACUACUGGGGCCAGCUCUGCUUCUCUUCCAUAGAGUGAGGAUCAUCAUUUUACUCGAAUCACUUCAGCCUAACAAGCAACAAAUUCCAAUGAGACUAGCACCUCUGCCAACACUGGAUCCAGUGUGAUCUCCAGUGGAGCCAGCACAGCCACCAACUCUGGGUCCAGUGUGACCUCCAGUGGGGUCAGCACAGCCACCAUCUCAGGGUCCAGCGUGACCUCCAAUGGGG